CGGACCUGACUGCUAUCGGAUUGAUACUAAGCCAUGCGAGUCAUUGUAGCAAUACAAGGCAUACGGCUCAGUAACGCGUAGUCAACCUAACCUAUGGACGGGAAUAACCUCGGGAAACUGAGAAUAAUGCCCGAUAGAACAUUAUGCCUGGAAUGGUUUAUGUUCCAAAUGAUUUAUCGCCGUAGGAUGGGACUGCGGCCUAUCAGUUUGUUGGUGAGGUAAUGGCCCACCAAGACUAUUACAGGUACGGGCUCUGAGAGGAGUAGCCCGGAGAUGGGUACUGAGACACGGACCCAGGCCCUAUGGGGCGCAGCAGGCGAGAAAACUUUGCAAUGUGCGAAAGCACGACAAGGUUAAUCCGAGUGGUUUCUGCUAAAGGAACCUUUUGUCAGUCCUAGAAACACUGAUGAAUAAGGGGUGGGCAAGUUCUGGUGUCAGCCGCCGCGGUAAAACCAGCACCUCAAGUGGUCAGGAUGAUUAUUGGGCCUAAAGCAUCCGUAGCCGGCUCUGUAAGUUUUCGGUUAAAUCUGUACGCUCAACGUACAGGCUGCCGGGAAUACUGCAAAGCUAGGGAGUGGGAGAGGCAGACGGUACUCGGUAGGAAGGGGUAAAAUCCUUUGAUCUAUUGAUGACCACCUGUGGCGAAGGCGGUCUACCAGAACACGUCCGACGGUGAGGGAUGAAAGCUGGGGGAGCAAACCGGAUUAGAUACCCGGGUAGUCCCAGCUGUAAACCAUGCAAACUCAGUGAUGCAUUGGCUUGUGGCCAAUGCAGUGCUGCAGGGAAGCCGUUAAGUUUGCCGCCUGGGAAGUACGUACGCAAGUAUGAAACUUAAAGGAAUUGGCGGGG
rnacentral:rRNA from 1 species